CAAGCCUUCUGAGACAUGGAGUCAGAUCCUCAUUUCUUCCCUCAUCCUCAGACCCCUGUGAGCACUGUCACACCCUGCUCUUUGAAAGAUGCAUCAAAGAUGAGAAUGCACUAGUAGAACUGAAAUAAAAUCUUUUUAAUUAAAAAAAAAAUUAAAACCUUUCCGAAAUUUACAGGAUUUUAAGGGAUAAAGGCACAGUUCCUUCUAAAUGGUUUACAUGAAACAGAAUUUAAAGCAAGAAAGUUUUUGUAGGCAAUGAAGCAGUAUCCAGUAGAGGAAAAAUACAGUGCCUAAACAGGCAGAAGAAUAAGGCAGCAUAGAAAUCCUGCCAAUCCUCUUGGUGACACAGGGAUUGGGAGAGGAUAGCAAUUAUUUGAGGUCAUAGUUAUUGGAUAAGCAUAUGUUGGUGUUACUUGUUUUAAUCAACUUUGAAAGGGUAUUUGGAUAUACAUUAGACUCAAUCAAACAGCUGCCAAAUUCCAUUCCAGAGAGAGGUAAAUUUUAAGAAGACAGUUUUGGUUUUUCAUAACUUGCAGCCACACUGGUAACAUAGCUACAGACAUUUCCAUUCUAUGUAACUGCCUUGGCUUCCUACCUGAAUUACAGAAAACCUAAACAGCAAAAGCCCCGCUUUUAACUUUGACCUAAGUGACAAAACCCAGUUCUUAUCUGUGCAGUAGCAGUAUUCUCCCCACUUUUGCUAUUUUUAAGUGGUUUAGAGGAUUUUUUUUUUUAUUUUUAAAUGGUUUAGAUCUUAUUUAGGUCUAACAAGCUUUUCUAAACAGAGACUCUUAUGUAUUCAAGUGAUACUUAACUUGGGAAGACAUCCUGCCAUUCCAUGAGUUUCACUUCUUUGCAAUAUGAAUAUUUCACUUAAAACUAAAAUUCCUGGUGGCAAAGAUACAUGAAUUAAAAGGACUAGGGAAUGUAAGAAGUGAUCUCUGACUUGUGAACAGACUGAUAUUUUUUUUUCUUCUUCUAAACCGAAGAAUAUACAAAAGUGUUGUUACCCAUUACAUCAUUGUAUUGACAGACUCCAUUUUCACACUGAAAAUAUCUGUAUAUUUUAACAACUCAGUUUCUGCAUUUUCAUUUAAAAUUUAUUUUCUUUAUGAGAAAAGGGAACAGCUGUUCUAUUCUUAAAAUCAUAUUCCAUACUUCCAGACAAUGAACUAAAUUGUAAUGACACAAAUAAAACUACUCCUUGACUAGA